rnacentral:rRNA from 1 species
GACGAACGCUGGCGGCGUGCUUAACACAUGCAAGUCGAACGGGCCUGUCUUCUUUUUUGGGGGUGGGUUGAGUGGCGAACGGGUGAGUAUCACGUGAGUAACCUGCCCUUCGGUCCUGGAUAACCGCUUGAAAGGGCGGCUAAUACGGGGUGGUCCGGUUGGUCCGCAUGGGCUGGUCGGGAUAGAUUCACUGUUUUUGGUGUUUCGGCGGGGGAUGGGCUCGCGGGCUAUCAGCUUGUUGGUGGGGUGAUGGCCUACCAAGGCGGUGACGGGUAGCCGGCCUGAGAGGGUGGGCGGCCACACUGGGACUGAGAUACGGCCCAGACUCCUGCGGGAGGCAGCAGUGGGGGGUAUUGCACAAUGGGCGGAAGCCUGAUGCAGCGACGUCGCGUGAGGGAUGGAGGCCUUCGGGUUGUGAACCUCUGUUUCCGGUGGUGAAGGCCCUGUCCGUGUGGUGGGGUUGACGGUAGCCGGGGAUGAAGCGCCGGCUAACUACGUG